rnacentral:misc_RNA from 1 species
UACGGAGGGUGCAAGCGUUAAUCGGAAUUACUGGGCGUAAAGCGCGCGUAGGUGGCUUGAUAAGCCGGUUGUGAAAGCCCCGGGUUCAACCUGGGAACGGCAUCCGGAACUGUCAGGCUAGAGUGCGGGAGAGGACGGUAGGAUUCCCGGUGUAGCGGUGAAAUGCGUAGAGAUCGGGAGGAAUACUAGUGGCGAAGGCGGCCUUCUGGACUGACACUGACACUGAGGUGCGAAAGCGUGGGUAGCAAACAGG